ACAAGGGACACCUUGAAGAUGACUCUUUUGUAAUUUGCCAGUACUUAUGUCUUUCUUCAGAAGGACUGUGACUAAAUAUGACUUGACAGUGCAGCUGUUUAGAGACACCUCAAGAUGAUCCUCUCCUGACAUGACUGACAGGAAGAGCCUUAACCACCAGGAUGUUUGGAUGCAGGGACACUGUCCUGGAGCUAAGCCACCUUUCUUGAAGGAAGUUUCACACAAACAGAUCUAUUUCUGUGAAACGUUUCACUUUGGAUAAGUAUCUUAUGGGGAGGGACAGACUGAUAUAUAAGUACCAUUGUGUGCAUCUGCUGAUGUCUACAGGGUUCGUCUUCAAUUCGGGGAGACCCCGGCCCCGGCCCCACUCCGGCGCGGGGCAGCUCGGGGGAGUCCAGCUCAACCCCGUUGAACAGACUGACCCCGCCCGGAGCGAUGCUGGUCGCGCCGCUCGAAUCCGGCACUUGAGACACGGCCCCUUGGCUCCUUUUCGCCGCCCGCCCAGCCUGGCUCUUGACUGCGCUCCCUCGCUGAAAUCCCGCCUCCCCCGGCCCUCUCGCGAGACGCCGAGUGCUCGGGAAGUCUCCCGG